CUCAAAUUCAGGAACAAAUUAGGAAAAAAAUUACCUUUAACCCUUAAUAUCCAAGUUAAUAACAAAAUUUAGGAAACAAAUUCAAGCUAAUAAAGGAACAAUUAGGGCAACCUAAAUAUCCAAGCUAAUAAAAAAAUUAGCAAACAAAUUUGGGAAAAAAAUAAUGGCACAAAAUUGGGCUAACCUUUAACCCUUAAGCUUACUGUGAUGAGCAGAGGUGAGAGGGACCGCACAGUGAUGUCGGCAAAGCACAGUGGUGAUGAGUAGAGGCGAGAGAUGGAGACCACGGAGUAGGAGGAGGACGACGUCGAGUCGAUACGAGAGGAGGAAUUGAAGGAGGGGAUAUCGUCAAAAAAGGGAGGAUGAGGAUAUCGCCGAAAAAGGGAGGAGGAGGAGGUGGCAGUGAGCAGGGGUGAGAGAGAGGGAGGUGAGAGUGAGUAGAGGUGUGAGAAAGAGAAAGAGAAAGAAAAUGUUAGGUGCGACGGGGAGGGGAAGAAGCGAUUUUAGGGAUUUAAUCAAGCUUAUUUUC
rnacentral:lncRNA from 1 species